rnacentral:misc_RNA from 1 species
AGGCAUUCCCUUGCAUUCAGCGCAUCGCCACCGAGAGGACGCACGCACUCGCACAAAGCCGAGCCCGACUCUCGUGUAUUCCUUUCCGCUUCCUUUCAGCUGCCGCUCGUCUGGUGUUGGUUACUGAGGAGGUGUUUCACCACCCCCUCCCUGCCCUCCCCCGUCUUCCUUCCCCACCUCUCUUGCGUGUCUGCCCGCCCGUGCCCGUGGCUCUCCCUCGCCCUCGCCGCUUCCUCUUCCUGCUUUUGACCAGCGGCUCUCGCCUCCGCGCCGGCGCUGCACCCCAUCGCUCCCCCUCCCCGCCCCCUCAUCCGGGUCGUUCCUCCCGCUCUCUCCCUCUCCCUGCCGGACUGGCAGGCGCUCCCACUGCCCUCUGCGAACUACUAUCGCGGCUCGUCGCACCAUACAAUGUACGCGGACGCGACCCAUCCGCGCCGUGCUUGCUGGUGCGGCGCAGGUGGCGUGUCCGGCUGUGUGAGGCAGCGACAUGCGUACCGAUGCUCGCGACUCCUGGCUGGCGUUUUGCUGAUUGCCGGCGCGCUGACGCUCGCCGUGUCCACGGCGCCUGUGGCGUGGGCUGCGGGUGCCCUCGCCUCGCCGGAUGAGCCUGUGUACCUGCUGAACGCCAUGUACGCGUUGAGUGACUACAAUGCGAAGCAUGCAAAGGCGCUGUGGCUGGGCAUCGACUCCGCGCUGCACGAGGUCGGCUACACCGCCGCUCGCGGCCGCCCCAUCAAGAUCAUUGAACCGGACCCGACGGACGACCUGUCGGACAUCGUAGCUGUCGUGUUGAAGGCGCUCAAAGACUACCCGACGCUUCUUGGCGUGAUUGGACCGUACUCUGACACUUCCCUUGGUGCUGUGCUGAACAGCCCUGAGAUUCGGAACAGCGGGCUGAUGUUUCUGGGCCCGUUCACCGGGUCCAGUUCUAUGCGUGUGUGGAGCGAGAACGUGUACUUCAUGCGCGCGGAGCCACGGCUGGAGAUCAUGGCAAUGGUAAAGCACAUAGCCAAUACCUUCCGCGCACGCCGCACUGCGCUCAUGUAUCUGACGGGUGAGCAGUACGGAAGCUUCGAGCACAAGAGUCUUGUGGAGCUGAUGGCGUCCCUUUCGCUCGACCCGCCGGCUGUGUACUCCGCGUCGUACUCGACGAACAAUGCUGUGAACAUGACGGCCUUCGACGCGAUGGCGGACACGCGCCCGCAGGUGAUCAUAAUCUGGGGAAUACCUGCAGGGCAGGUUGUGGAGCUCCUGAAGGUUGUGCUUACAGACCCGCGUACGUCGUCGGCGUACAUCAUGUCGUCGUUUGCGCUGCAGCAGAUGACAUUCCAGGUGUACUACGAUCUUGCGAUGGCUGGGAAGCUGACGCCUGUAGACGGGCAGAUCAUGUCGAGCGCCACAUCCUUUCCGCUCACGGAACCUGCGUCGGUCCAUCUGAGGGUGUUCAGGGCGCAGAUGGGGGAGUACAUGGUGAAGACCGGCCGCGUGGACGCGAGCCUGUGGGCCGACGAGGCGAAGGCUGUGCAGCAGUACGGCCCGUGGGAGCAUGAGGCGUCGUCGUCGGACUCUGCUGCAUACGUGAACAACUUCUUCAACGAGCACCCGUGCGUAACGCAGCUGAUGAUUGCUGGGUGGAUUUCUGGCUCGCUGAUCGCGCAGACGCUUGCGGAGGAGAACCGGAUCGCGAAUCGGACGGCGUACAGACAGUACAUGUUCUCUCAGCAGCGCUACAUCGUAGGCGAGGACUUUGUUCUUGGUGACUACGGCGGGCCGUGCAACGGUGUUGCCAAGUUUCUGGGCGCCGUGUGCUACUGUAACCAGGGUGGGCACUCCGCGGUCCUUUCGAGGCUUGACAGAGCCGUGUGGACGGUGAUUACCGAGUCUGGCGUCAGCUUCACGCAGAAAAACUGCUACUCCGAUGGCACCACCCUCCCGCGGCCGCUGAACUUCCUGACGCUGAUCUUUGCGGAGCAUCCGUUGCUUGCGCAGGUGGGGCUGACCUUUAAAACGAGCAUAUCAACACUGGUCGCCUACCUGCAGUACAACGCGAGCCCCGUGAACGCGGCCACGCUUAACGUAACAGAUACAACACCACAGGCGCUGCACGAUGCGGUGACGACGAACUACACCACCGACGUCGUCGUAGGCGUGACAGUGAAGGGCAUGAACGUUGAUGGGUACUUGGUGCCCUCCCCCAUUCACCCUCGGCCACACCUAGUAGAGCUGCUAAGAAACUACGUGUAUCUGAUGCCAACGCUUGAGCAGCAGAUGUUCGUACUGUACGCGAAGCUUUCGGCUGUGAGGGGCGUGACGUCGAUCGACUCGGCCGUGCAUAUGAUCCUGCACGGCUACGCCAGCGAUGAGGUAGCGAACAUCACCGCUGUGCUGCGCAAGUCUGCUGCGACGUUCAACUACGACAACCCGACUGUGACUGCGGUGCCCUCCACGAAGACUGUUGGGAGUGCGCUUGCUCACGGGCAGAUCAACUUCGUGCUUGCCGUGACAGCUGCGGAUGUGGCUGACAUUGUCGACUUUCUGGUUGAGGAGAAGACCUCGAUUGUUGUGAUAGUCUUCGAUGACUUGGUGAUUCAGUACCCCACGCUUGUCACUGCCCUCAAGUCGAAGCCGGCGUCUGUGCAGGCGCGUGUGAUCACGUUCACUAACCUGCCGCUCUGGAGCGACACUUCGGAGAGCGCGCAUGCUGCCUCUAAGCUGCUGACGGUGUUUCACGACGCGCUGCCUGACCCUUCCCAACACACUCCAGGGUUCCUGAGCGCUGUUUUAACUGGCAGUUUUUGUGCCUCGAUGAGGAGGCUUGCGGACAGCGUGCACAGCACUUCGCUGACAGACAUGGUCUAUCGCGAAGGCUCUGUGACCACGUUUGCCGAGCCCUUUGGCAGGUUUCAGUGGGGCUGCACAACGACGCCAACGGACAGGUUCUGCGUGUACCACAACUACGGCGCGCAGGGCAUCGUGAUGCUUUCCGUCCAGCGGAUGCUGGACCCGACGGUGCCGCAGCUGUCUUCCCCGAUGACGCCUACAAUGGACUAUCGGCCGCGCCAGAGAUCGCAUGCGCUGACACCUGCGCAGCGCGGCGGUGCCAUUGCGGGCAUCGCUCUGCUCACUGUCAUCUUGCUUGCGGUUGCUGGGCUGGCUCUGUACUGCUGCAUGGACAACCGCAACAACGACGCCGCGCCGAAGGACGGUGACGAGCCGGUGACGCUGCUCUUCACGGACAUCGAGAGCAGCACUGCGCUGUGGGCCGCGCUGCCGCAGCUGAUGUCUGACGCGAUUGCUGCGCACCACCGUGUGAUCCGGCAGCUGGUGAAGAAGUACGGGUGCUACGAGGUGAAGACGAUCGGCGACUCGUUCAUGAUCGCGUGCAGGAGCGCGCACAGCGCUGUGAGCCUUGCGUGCGAGAUCCAGACGAAGCUGCUGAAGCACGACUGGGGUACGGAGGCGCUGGACCGCGCGUACCGCGAGUUCGAGCUUGCGCGCGUGGACACGUUGGACGACUACGAGCCGCCGACUGCGCGGCUGAGCGAGGAGGAGUACGCUGCGCUGUGGUGCGGGCUGCGCGUGCGCGUGGGGAUCCACACGGGGCUGACCGACAUCCGGUACGACGAGGUGACGAGGGGGUACGACUACUACGGCGACACGUCGAACAUGGCUGCGCGCACGGAGGCUGUUGCGAAUGGCGGGCAGGUUGUCGCGACGGAGGCGGCGUGGUGGGCGCUGUCGAACGACGAGCGCGCGGGUAUUGCGCACACUGCGAUGGGACCGCAGGGGCUGCGCGGUGUGCCGUUCGCCGUGGAGAUGUUCCAGCUGAACGCUGUGCCUGGCCGCCGCCACGCUGCGCUGCGCACUGAGAUCGAGGCGAUCCUGCCGGAUGAUACAGCGACGGACACGGCCUCGAGCGCUGCAGGCGCGCUGCUGUCGUCUGUGGGCACGAUAAAUGGCCCUGCUGCUGGCAUUGCCUUCGUGUUGGCGAGCUGCUUUGCGCCGUACCCCGUUGCGCAGCGCGUGCGAGAGCUGCAGCCGCUGCUGAGCAAGUGGGGCGUUGGUGCGCCGCCGCGGAGUCGUCUUGUGAGCGAGGAGGACUACUGCCAGGGGCUGAUGAACCGUCUUGCGAUUCGGAUUGCGACGGUGUCGCAGGCUCGCUGUCCGGUGGGCAACAACGGUGCUGCGGUGGACCUCGAUGUGCAGCACGCUGGGACAGCUGAGGUGAUGAACCCGUUGCUGGGUGAGGGCAGCUUUAUCUCAGACGGUGCGAGGGCACGACAUUCGGGGCUGACGGCGGUGCCGCCCUCUGCUGAACCGUCUGCGAUGCGUAUGCGGCGUGUGGGCCGCAAAGUCCCUGAGCGACCUACGGUCUGUAAUGUGCGCGGCGCGCAUUGAAGAGAGCCCUGCGGCGACCUCCGGCCUGCGAGGCGAUGAUCUGGUGCGGAUUGUGACCAGGCUUUUGACGCCACUCGCGCACUGCUCUGGAAAUGUGUCAUCUCCGCAGCCACAGCGGCUAGCGGCAGUCUUCCUGCGAUGGCCCGUCGUCGCAUGCUGUACAGCGGCGCAGCUCUGAGGAGGCGCACACGAUGCUGUCCGCUGUCUCUUUCUUCUGGUACAGAGAGGCCAGAAGCGGUGCUCAUGUACCCAUGUGCCACGUUUAUGCACGUGUGCGUGCCGAAGUGCGCGGCUGAAUGUAUCUAUCUGCAUACAUACAUACACAGGUAACCGUGCCUCUACCUGAGCCGAUGUAUGGACGCAUGUGCAUCUAUUUAUAGGCAUGUGUAUGUGUGUGUACAUGUGUGCGGCUGAAUGCAUGUAUAUAUAUGUGCGUGUACAUGUGCAUGUAUCUCUAUAUGUAUGCCGAUGUGUCUGUGUGCGUGUAUGUGCUAUGGAGCAGCCGUAGUAGGGCGAGACAGUGGAGGCUCGAGUGUGGCUCUCGUCGUUGUCUCUCUGCCCGAGGACGGCAGCUGCGAAUUCUUUCGAUUUGUUUUCUUUUCUCUUGCUUGUAUGGUGAUGCUGACGGCGCGCCUCGGAGAGGGCGUGCUGGCGACCAACUCUCGCUCGCUCGCUGACUCUCGGCACCCUCGCUCCUGAUUUCCUGCUCUGCGCCGGCAAGCGAGUGGGCACGAGUCCCUGCGGGCACCAUACUUAUUCCUUCCUCUGUGUACGCCAUUCAUUCACGUCCGCACGCAUUCCUCGCGACACGGCGGUGCGACGAGGUCGGGGGGACGAUGUGGCCUGCCCCCCUCGCUGCCCAGUGGCGGCGCGCUCUUUGCUCUGCCUGUGAGUGCGCCUUCCUGCUGCCGUAUGGGCCGCGGACGGGCGACAGUGACCGCACGGCCCCUUGUCUCUCGUUAUGUCUUCUGCCCAUGCGCCGAGAAGGUAGGUCUCGCCCCCCGGGCCCCCCUGCAUGUCCCCACCCGGUGGCACCGUACGCUGGAAGGACGUGUUGCACCGCACUCUCGCCGGUGCGCACGCACAGGCGUAUGCGCGUGCCUGU